GCCAGGAGUGGUGGCUCACGCCUGUAAUCCCAGCACUUUGGGAGGCCGAGACGGGUGGAUCACCUGAGGUCAGGAGUUCUAGACCAGCCUGGCCAACAUGGUGAAACCCCGUCUCUA
rnacentral:SRP_RNA from 2 species